rnacentral:rRNA from 1 species
CAGUAGCCACGGGAAUACGUAGGUGGCAAGCGUUGUCCGGAAUUAUUGGGCGUAAAGGGCUCGCAGGCGGUUUCUUAAGUCUGAUGUGAAAGCCCCCGGCUCAACCGGGGAGGGUCAUUGGAAACUGGGAAACUUGAGUGCAGAAGAGGAGAGUGGAAUUCCACGUGUAGCGGUGAAAUGCGUAGAGAUGUGGAGGAACUCCAGUGGCGAGGGCGACUCUCUGGUCUGUAACUGACGCUGAGGAGCGAAAGCGUGGGGAGCGAACAGGAUUAGAGACCCCAGUAGUCCCUGUCUCUUAUAC